GAUGAAGAACGCAGCGAAACGCGAUAAGUAAUGUGAAUUGCAGAAUCCAGUGAAUCAUCGAAUCUUUGAACGCACAUUGCGCCCGCCAGCAUUCUGGCGGGCAUGCCUGUUCGAGCGUCAUUUCAACCCUCGACCUCCCCUUGGGGAGGUCGGCGUUGGGGACCGGCAGCACACCGCCGGCCCUGAAAUGGAGUGGCGGCCCGUCCGCGGCGACCUCUGCGCAGUAAUACAGCCCGCACCGGGACCCCGACGCGGCCACGCCGUAAAACACCCAACUUCUGAACGUUGACCUCGAAUCAGGUAGGACUACCCGCUGAACUUAAGCAUAUCAAUAGCGGAGGA
rnacentral:misc_RNA from 1 species